rnacentral:lncRNA from 1 species
AUUUUACUUUUCAACUUGAACUCUACAGGUUUUGGUUGCUGAGAGGCUUUUAACUCUGGGAGAAACUCUUAAUAGACUUCUGGGCAGCUAAUGAAGUAACUGUCUUCCCCAUGCUUGACGGACUCUUGUCAAUCCCAUCAUCACUUGCAAGUGGAGUUUAAUUUUCUUCUCUAGAAAAAUUGAAGGUAUGUAGUCUUCAUACCUAUGUAUUGAAUAUAGCGUGUGAUUUUCUAGUGGUUAAAAUCAUAAUUGUUAAGUGAAGGUAUACGUUGACUGCAUAUUGAACUACUAACGAGAUUCACCUAUUUGCACAUAGCAAACCUUAAGUAUUGUUUUUACGUUUGGUUAAGACUCUGCCAAUUCAAAAUUGUAGUAUUGUUUUAAUAAUCUGUACCAAUUCAAAUUUUAUGUAUAUAAAAUGUUUCAAAGUAGUAGUUCCAACUUGCUUACGGUAAAAAAAAAUAAAAAAAAUAAAAAAAUUUACUGCUUUCUCCCUAAGACAAUGUUAAAAGGCCUUAAGAGAUUGGAGUGCACUCAACUCCCUAAUUAAAGUGAUGUCCAUUUUUCUGUACUCCAGAACAAUUUAUCAUGCUAGCCAUACCAUUCUAGCACAGAGAAGCUUUUCGAUAUUAGCCUUUGCUCUUUGUAGCAAAGUAAACAAGGGUAUACUAGCAAACAAUAUAUAUGGAGCAUUCGGACAAUACCAAGUGCCAACAGAAGAAAUUUCUAUUCAUAUAUUAGAACUGCGAAAUUUGUCCGUGUCAUCCACAAGAUGCUGCUACAUAGGAAAAGCUUGAGUAUCUUCUUCGCCUCAGAUGGCCAAAGAAUUAGAGAUUGGCGAUCUAUGAAAAUAUGAUUGCACAAUAUGGACAGUAACAAUGCCAUAGACAGUGAAACACGUAUAACAAUGAGCACUAAAUGGUUAUAUUUACAGAGGCUAAUAGAGUUUCCCUGUGCUAGGCAUACAACUGUAUAUUGAUAAAUAAUAAGUUAUGGAACUUAACAAAACCAAACUGUACUAGUUUCAGUGUACUGUUAUGU